rnacentral:rRNA from 1 species
UACAGAGGGUGCAAGCGUUAAUCGGAAUUAUUGGGCGUAAAGGGCUUGUAGGUUGUUGUUUAAGUUAGAUGUGAAACCCCUGGGCUUAACCUGGGACGUGCAUUUAAUACUGGAUGACUAGAGUAUGGUAGAGGAGAGGGGAAUUCCUGGUGUAGCAGUGAAAUGCGUAGAGAUCAGGAGGAACAUCAGUGGCGAAGGCGCCUCUCUGGACUAAUACUGACACUGAGGAGCGAAGGCGUGGGGAUCAAACAGG